rnacentral:rRNA from 1 species
GACGAACGCUGGCGGCAGGCCUAACACAUGCAAGUCGAGCGAGCGGCGGACGGGAGAGUAAUGCCGGGGAAUUGCCCAGUCGAGGGGGAUAACAGUUGGAAACGACUGCUAAUACCGCAUACGAUUGGAUUGCCAAGGUGGGAGUAGCUAGUUGGUGAGGUAAUGGCUCCCCAAGGCGACGAUCCCUAGCUGGUCUGAGAGGAUGAUCAGCCACCUGGGGCCUGAGAUACGGCCCAGACGUCAACGGGAGGCAGCAGUGGGGGAUAUUGCACGAUGGGCGAAAGCCUGAUGCAGCGACGCCUCGUGGGGGAUGAAGGCUUUCGGGUUGUAAACCUCUUUCGCUAUCGAACGGGUAGGUGGAGAAGAAGCGCCGGCUAACUACGUGCCAGCCGCCGCGGUAAUAC